GGUGAGGGAAGCGGGAAGGGACACCUGCAUUGCUCCUUGCCCCAAGGGGUUCCCCAGGCUGUGGACAGAGUGGAAAAGGGAGCCUGGCCCCUGCCACCUGUCUCCCAGGAACCAGAGGACGCUGGCAUGGAGGGGUUGUUACCACCGUGCAGAUAAGGAAACUGAGGCCCGCUGACAUUCACAAGGGUCAGAACUCCUCCAAAGUGACCUGGUGCAUCAGGAGCUGAGCAGAACAGGAUAUAAAGAUGGGGGCUGCUGGGGGCCACAGCCCGGCCUGGGAGAGCCAACCCCACUCUGAACUCACACGGCUGGGGUCCUGGGUGGCCCGGCAGAGUCUCCUCACCCCGUCCUAGAAACUGAGGCCGUCAGACAGGACUCUCCCCAGUGCACCAGACCUACACAUGGCUGUCCCUGCCUCCAGUUCCCACUGCAGCUCUUCCAGUCUCCUGUCCUGGGACGCCGCCUCCUGUCUUCUCCUUCCUGUCACUCUGUGAUACCCAAAGUACCUCCCCUCACACAGUCUACUAAAAUCUUCCCUAACCAGGUGUCGUGGUGCCCACCUAUAAUCCCGGCACUCUGGGAGGCGGAGGAAGGAGGAUCAAUAAUUCCAGCC